rnacentral:rRNA from 1 species
GAUGAACGCUGGCGGCGUGCCUAAUACAUGCAAGUCGAGCGAACGGACGAGAAGCUUGCUCCUCUGAUGUUAGCGGCGGACGGGUGAGUAACACGUGGAUAACCUACCUAUAAGACUGGGAUAACUUCGGGAAACCGUAGCUAAUACCGGAUAAUAUAUUGAACCGCAUGGUUCAAAAGUGAAAGACGGUCUUGCUGUCACUUAUAGAUGGAUCCGCGCUGCAUUAGCUAGUUGGUAAGGUAACGGCUUACCAAGGCAACGAUGCAUAGCCGACCUGAGAGGGUGAUCGGCCACACUGGAACUGAGACACGGUCCAGACUCCUACGGGAGGCAGCAGUAGGGAAUCUUCCGCAAUGGGCGAAAGCCUGACGGAGCAACGCCGCGUGAGUGAUGAAGGUCUUCGGAUCGUAAAACUCUGUUAUUAGGGAAGAACAUAUGUGUAAGUAACUGUGCACAUCUUGACGGUACCUAAUCAGAAAGCCACGGCUAACUACGUG